AUUGAACGCUGGCGGCAGGCCUAACGCAUGCAAGUCGAGCGGAUGAAGGGAGCUUUCUCCUGGAUUCAGCGGCGGACGGGGGAGUAAUGCCUAGGAAUCUGCCUGGUAGUGGGGGAUAACGUCCGGAAACGGGCGCUAAUACCGCAUACGUCCUGAGGGAGAAAGUGGGGGAGCUUCGGACCUCACGCUAUCAGAUGAGCCUAGGUCGGAUUAGCUAGUUGGUGGGGUAAGGGCCUACCAAGGCGACGAUCGGUAACUGGUCUGAGAGGAUGAUAAGUCACACUGGAACGGGGACACGGUCCAGACGACUACGGGAGGCAGCAGUGGGGAAUAUUGGACAAUGGGCGAAAGCCUGAUACAGCCAUGCCGAGUGUGUGAAGAAGGUCUUCGGAUUGUAAAGCACUUUAAGUUGGGGGGAAGCGCAGUAAGUUAAUACCUUGCUGUUUUGACGGUACCAACAGAAUAAGCACCGGCUAACUUCGUG
rnacentral:rRNA from 1 species